rnacentral:rRNA from 1 species
UACGGAGGGUGCGAGCGUUGUCCGGAAUCAUUGGGCGUAAAGGGCGCGUAGGUGGCCUGUGCAAGCGUGCGGUGAAAGCUCGGGGCUCAACCCCGAGUCGGCCGUGCGAACUGCUGGGCUCGAGCACUGUAGAGGCAGGCGGAAUUCCGGGUGUAGCGGUGGAAUGCGUAGAGAUCCGGAAGAACACCGGUGGCGAAGGCGGCCUGCUGGGCAGUGGCUGACACUGAGGCGCGACGAGCGUGGGGAGCAAACAGG